rnacentral:rRNA from 1 species
AUUGAACGCUGGCGGCAGGCCUAACACAUGCAAGUCGAGCGGAGCGGCGGACGGGUGAGUAAUGCCUAGGAAUCUGCCUGGUAGUGGGGGAUAACGUCCGGAAACGGGCGCUAAUACCGCAUACUAUCAGAUGAGCCUAGGUCGGAUUAGCUAGUUGGUGGGGUAAAGGCCUACAAAGGCGACGAUCCCUAGCUGGUCUGAAGGGAUGACCAGCCACACGGGAACUGAGAAACAGGCCCGACGCCUACGGGAGGCAGAAGUGGGGAAUAUGUCACAAGGGGCGCGAGCCUGAUGCAGCCAGGCCGCGUGUAUGAAGAAGGCCUUCGGGUUGUAAAGUACUUUCAGCGGGGAGGCGUUACCCGCAGAAGAAGCACCGGCUAACUCCGUGCCAGCCGCCGCGGUAAUAC